UUUCAGGACAUACUGGUGAGGAUGUCAAAAGUGCAAUUGGCGUCCUCA
rfam:Influenza A virus (A/Indonesia/CDC390/2006(H5N1)) segment 8 sequence.